CCCACCUCCCCUCAUCCCUACGUUUUGUGCGAAAAUCCGAAACCAGUGGAAAACACAAAGACCCGCCAUUGUUAUUAUUAAAGAGCUCCAUAGAAAGAACCUCCCUUCUUUCCUCUCUCCUUCUCCCCCUCUCUUCUCAAGGUUUUGCGGAACCCUACCCCUACUUCAUAGAAAUCCAUGGCUGCUGCCUCCCUGACUCUGCCAUUUGCUUCUUCUUCUUCUGCCGCUGCCGCUUCUUCUUCUUCUGCUUCGUCUCUAUUCUCUCGCUAUACUCUCAGCCAUAGACGCUUUGUCUCCUCCGAAUCCCGCUCUCGAAUUCACGCCCAUAAAACCUUCAAAUGUGAUCUAUCCGAGCCGUUCAAAAAUAUAAAUGGGAAGCCCAUUGUUCCUAUCCUUAACGAGCGGAAUCUACCCAACUUUUUGGAAACUGCACGCAUGGAGAAGACAGUCAACCGAACUAGUACCAGGCUGAAAUUAUUUUCUGGCACUGCAAAUCCUAUCCUUUCUCAGGAAAUUGCUUGGUACAUGGGCCUGGAGCUCGGAAAGAUCAACAUAAAGCGAUUUGCAGAUGGGGAAAUAUAUGUUCAGUUGCAAGAGAGUGUCAGAGGAUGUGAUGUAUACCUAGUACAGCCUACCUGCCCUCCUGCAAAUGAGAAUCUCAUGGAGCUAUUAGUAAUGAUAGAUGCUUGUCGUAGAGCUUCGGCCAAAACCAUUACUGCAGUGAUUCCAUAUUUUGGAUAUGCUAGAGCUGACAGAAAGACCCAAGGGCGCGAAUCAAUUGCAGCCAAACUAGUUGCAAACCUUAUCACAGAAGCAGGUGCUAACCGUGUUCUAGCUUGUGACCUUCAUUCUGGGCAGUCCAUGGGUUACUUCGAUAUCCCAGUGGAUCAUGUAUAUUCUCUGCCUGUGAUUCUUGAUUAUCUUGCCAGCAAGACAAUCAGUUCUCAAGAUUUGGUAGUUGUUUCCCCUGAUGUUGGUGGGGUAGCAAGGGCACGUGCUUUUGCAAAAAAAUUAUCUGAUGCACCUUUAGCCAUUGUAGACAAAAGGCGCUAUGGACACAAUGUUGCUGAGGUGAUGAAUCUGAUUGGAGAUGUAAAAGGAAAAGUUGCAGUGAUGAUGGAUGACAUGAUUGACACUGCUGGGACCAUUGCUAAAGGUGCAGCUCUUUUACAUGAAGAGGGGGCCAGAGAGGUCUAUGCAUGCUGCACUCAUGCUGUGUUCAGGUUUGGUGAAGACAUCAGCCACUUGGAGAUCAAAAGAGAUGUGAGGAAGAGAUAUCACUGGACUUUCCAAGGUGUCUUGAAUAAAAUGACAAUCAACCUCAUUGUGCUUGGUGCGUUCAUGGAAAACGGGAUUGGUGGCAAUCUGGAUAGCACUAGUGUUAUCAGCAUGAAGAGGGGUAGAAGUAGUCUGAGAAAACCCAAGCUCCUCAAGAAGACCGCGUAGCCAUACAAUUUCAGAACAAGCAGUAAACAUAGCACGAUAUUCGGCCUCAGUCGAGGAUUUAGAAACACAAUCUUGUUUCUUACAUCUCCAAGAAAUUAAGGCAUCACCUAAAAACAUACACCAACCCGUAGUAGAUCGACGUGUAUCUGGACACUUAGCUCAAUCAGCAUCACUAUAGGCAACAAGUUGAAGAGAGGAGCUGGUAGGAAAGAACAACCCACGAGUAGAUGAACCUCAAAGAUAGUAGAUGAUGCGUCGAACUGCAGCAAGAUGGAGAUGCCAAGGAGAAGACAUAAACUGACUGACCUGAUGAACAACAUAGGAGAUAUCAGAUCGAGUAGUGGUCAAGUAGAUGGCAGGAAAACUAUGAACCUGGCUUUGAUACCAUGUCAAAUUGCUAAGAAACCGAGAAUGCUCAGAGAACUUUGUUGGACAAACUUAACCCUCCCUCCUGCAAUUGAGAGGUUGUCAAGCGGCCUGUUUCAAGAGGUGAUUGUUACAAACACGAUCCCAGUUGCAGAGAAGAACUACUUCCCCCAGUUGACUGUUCUUUCAGUGGCAA